GUGGGGAAUAUUGGACAAUGGGGGGAACCCUGAUCCAGCCAUGCCGCGUGUGUGAAGAAGGCCUUUUGGUUGUAAAGCACUUUAAGCGAGGAGGAGGCUACCGAGAUUAAUACUCUUGGAUAGUGGACGUUACUCGCAGAAUAAGCACCGGCUAACUCUGUGCCAGCAGCCGCGGUAAUACAGAGGGUGCAAGCGUUAAUCGGAUUUACUGGGCGUACAGCGCGCGUAGGUGGCCAAUUAAGUCAAAUGUGAAAUCCCCGAGCUUAACUUGGGAAUUACAUUCGAUACUGGUUGGCUAGAGUAUGGGAGAGGAUGGUAGAAUUCCAGGUGUAGCGGUGAAAUGCGUAGAGAUCUGGAGGAAUACCGAUGGCGAAGGCAGCCAUCUGGCCUAAUACUGACACUGAGGUGCGAAAGCAUGGGGAGCAAACAGGAUUAGAUACCCCAGUAGUCC
rnacentral:rRNA from 1 species